rnacentral:rRNA from 1 species
GAGUGAAGCGGCAACAGCUCAAAUUUGAAAUCUGGCUCUUUCAGGUCCGAGUUGUAAUUUGCAGAGGGCGCUUUGGCGUUGGCAGCGGUCCAAGUUCCUUGGAACAGGUCGUCACAGAGGGUGAGAAUCCCGUACGUGGCUGCUGGCCCUCGCCGUGUAAAGCCCCUUCGACGAAGUUCGAGUUGUUUGGGAAUGCAGCUCUAAAUGGGAGGUAAAUUUCUUCUAAAGCUAAAUACUGGCCAGAGACCGAUAGCGCACAAGUAGAGUGAUCGAAAGAUGAAAAGCACUUUGGAAAGAGGAGUCAAACAGCACGUGAAAUUGUUGAAAGGGAAGCGCUUGCAGCCAGACUUGCCAGCCGUUGCUCACCCGAGCUCUUUGUUCGGUGCACUCUUCGGUUGGCAGGCCAGCAUCAGUUUGGGCGGCUGGACAAAGGUCUCUAUCACGUACCUCCUCUCGGGGAGGCCUUAUAGGGGAGACGCCAUGCAGCCAGCCUGGACUGAGGUCCGCGCAUCUGCUAGGAUGCUGGCGUAAUGGCUGUAAGCGGCCCGUCUUGAAACACGGACCAAGGA